rnacentral:rRNA from 1 species
GAUGAACGCUGGCGGCGUGCCUAACGCAUGCAAGUCGAGCGAGGACCGCCCGGUGGCAACACCGGGUUGGUGCCUAGCGGCGAACGGGUGAGUAACACGUGGGUAACCUGCCCCCGACACCGGGAUAAGCCUGGGAAACUGGGUCUAAUACCGGAUAUUGAGCCUCCUCCGCAUGGUGGGGGCUGGAAAGGGUCUCCGGUCGGGGAUGGGCCCGCGUCCUAUCAGUUUGUUGGUGGGGUAACGGCCUACCAAGGCGACGACGGGUAGCCGGCCUGAGAGGGUGUACGGCCACACUGGGACUGAGACACGGCCCAGACUCCUACGGGAGGCAGCAGCGGGGAAUAUUGCGCAAUGGGCGAAAGCCUGAUCCAGCCAUGCCGCGUGUGUGAAGAAGGUCUUCGGAUUGUAAAGCACUUUAAGUUGGGAGGAAGGGCAGCUAGUUAAUACUUGGUUGUUUUGACGUUACCAACAGAAUAAGCACCGGCUAACUUCG